rnacentral:rRNA from 1 species
GACGAACGCUGGCGGUGUGCUUAACACAUGCAAGUGGAGCGACGAACCAGAGCUUGCUCUGGGGCAGAGCCGCGAACGGGUGAGUAACACGUGGGUAACCUACCCUGAUGACUGGGACAACCCGAGGAAACUCGGGCUAAUACCGGAUGUGCUCUCCUCUCACGAGAGAGGCGAGUAAAGGAAGCUUCGGCCUCCGCAUCAGGAGGGGCCCGCGGCCCAUUAGUUUGUUGGUGGGGUAACGGCCUACCAAGACUGCGAUGGGUAGCUGGUCUGAGAGGGCGAUCAGCCACACUGGGACUGAGACACGGCCCAGACUCCUACGGGAAGCAGCAGUGGGGAAUCUUGCGCAAUGCGCGACAGCGUGACGCAGCAACACCGCGUGGGGGAAGAAGGCCUUCGGGUUGUAAACCCCUUUCAGGAGGGACGAAGGCCGGCCGGUGAAUAGCCGUGCCGGUUGACGGUACCUCCACAAGAAGCCCCGGCUAACUACGUGCCAGCCGCCGCAGUAA